rnacentral:rRNA from 1 species
AUUGAACGCUGGCGGCAUGCCUUACACAUGCAAGUCGAACGGUAACAGAUCUUCGGAUGCUGACGAGUGGCGAACGGGUGAGUAAUACAUCGGAACGUGCCUAGUAGAGGGGGAUAACUACUCGAAAGAGUGGCUAAUACCGCAUGAGAUCUACGGAUGAAAGCAGGGGAUCGCAAGACCUUGUGCUACUAGAGCGGCCGAUGGCAGAUUAGGUAGUUGGUGGGAUAAAAGCUUACCAAGCCGACGAUCUGUAGCUGGUCUGAGAGGACGAUCAGCCACACGGGGACUGAGACACGGCCCAGACUCCUACGGGAGGCAGCAGUGGGGAAUUUUGGACAAUGGGCGCAAGCCUGAUCCAGCAAUGCCGCGUGCAGGAUGAAGGCCUUCGGGUUGUAAACUGCUUUUGUACGGAACGAAAAGCCCUGGGUUAAUACCCUGGGGUCAUGACGGUACCGUAAGAAUAAGCACCGGCUAACUACGUGCCAGCCGCCGCCGUAAUAC